rnacentral:lncRNA from 10 species
GAGGUUCCUGUGUAUCAACAGCUGCAAAGGCAAAGGGAUUGGCCUCCUGGGCAGAAAGGGGCCAAAAGGGAGGGCCCUUUGGAGGAGCGUGGCUCUGGUGAGGGGUGGAGGUGAGACCCACACUUAUGCUCUGAUGCCUUGCAACUGAUUUCCUCCAGAUACAAACAGGGCAGCUGAAUGGGGAGAUGGCCUCCCCCAUCAGAGGCAGUUCCCAGCCAGCUUCCUUGGAUGGCCACACAGGAAUCACUCCACACACCAUCCCUGAGAAGCAGAACCACAGGGAAACCUCUUGUCCCUCUGGAAACUCAGUUACAAUCAGUUCAGCACUUGAAGGAAGGAUCUCGAAACAUUACAGCCCGAAGAACAAGAGGGUGAAACUGUGGAGGCCUCAGCAUCUUCUACCCAGAGUGUGCCCAAGCUAUACCCUGGGGCAGCCACCAGCAUCAAGAGCUUCAGGCCAGUAGGGAGCUAGGGGACCUCUUGGUCCCAUUUCCUUGAUAACAUCAGAAAUCUGAAGAACAACUCUCCAGCAAGGCACGGGCUUCAACUGAAGCCCUCUUCCCAAGUCAUACUAAAACAAGAACUGACCCCAGCUGCGGGUGCUUCUCUCUGCCCGCACAUCCCUCUUCCAGCCUGCUCCAUAUGCAGCCCCACACAGUGGGGGUUCCUGUUGGGAUUGUGUGUCUGGGGCAAGUGACCUUACCACCCCAAGCCUCCAUUUCCUCAGAAGUCAAACAGGGAUGGGGAUGCUGACUUUCCGGGGAGGGGGAAGAGGUUCCCAUCGUCCGGCCGCCGGCAAUUGAUCUCAGUCUUGCUGCAGACACAAUUUGCAGGGCAAGCCAGCACGGAGCCCACAUAGUCCAGCCAGACGCUUCCCAGCAAGAAAAUCCGCCAGAAACUACACUUGGCUGGGCAAAGAGAGACAUCCAUCUCCG